rnacentral:lncRNA from 1 species
GCUUGGGAGACAUAAACAACAGCAGUAGCUAAUGAACUCUUUCUAUAGUUGCUAGUUUUACCCAAUGCUUCCUUCAAUCUGCUUUUCACUCUAAUUUGAAACAACUCUUAGGAAUAUCUAAUAAUCUACAUGUUUAUGGUAAAUCUGUGGUUAUUUGCCUUGCAGAUAUUCCCCUCAUGUGCCUCUCCAUUCCUCAAAGCCCUUCCUCAUUAGUAUAUGCCUUCCUUUUUUACUCUGUGUAUGUGUGUGUGUGUGUGCGCGCGCGUGCGCGUGCACGCUGUACAUGCUGAACACCACUGAGCUACAUCCCCAGCCUGCCUUUUUAUUGUUUAAGCAUAUAGUAAUACUAACUCUCCAAACUAAAGAGUGUCUUUUUCCAAAGAAAUGGGGAAACCUUCCAUAAUUUGACUCAUAAUUGAUGGGAUGUUCUAGAUAACCUCUCCCCUUACAGUAUUAAGGGUUUUAUCUCUGUUCAGCCCUGCAUUAGACAUAACUGUCAGGUAUUCUGGAUAGCUUCUACCUCUAGCCAUUUCCCCCUUUGAUUUGCCAAUGUGCUGCCUUUGUAACAGGUGAAAUCUUCAACAAAUCUAGUACCUCCCAGUAUUGCAGGUGUAACUCCUGCAGUUCUGCCACAUCUCUAUUUUUAUAGCUGGCCUACUGCUCCUUAACACAGUGGCACCUCUGGCCAUCUUAAACAUUUGACCUGAGCCAUUAUGUGUGUGAUAGAGCUGGUGCAGAAAAAACUUUGAUCCUCCUUUGAACCAGUCCAGGAUUGUCAUCUAACUAGUAGCUUUGUUCUGGUCCAAAUCCACUGUGGCUAGAGGUGCUAAGAGCACUGCAACCUUUGUCUUAUCACUAUCCCUGUAGUCCUUGUGACCCCCGGGAGCAGGGAGUAAGGGAGAACUUAUCUCAUUUGUAUCCUGGCUUUUCUCAACUCCACUCUUGUCCCUCAAAUAGUUUAAACCUGUGACCUUCAGGAAGUCAGGAAUAUAGCAAAGGCUAUCUCCCAUCCUUGCCAUCCCCAUUAACUCAUUUUGCAAUAUGUGUUUUAUGUUUAUGGUGGUUUUUCAGUCUGUAGUGUCUGUUCACUCAUUGCUUUCACACCUACGUUUCUUGUCUUUCUCCUGCUAGAUUGUAAGCUCCUUAAGGGCAAGGUCAGCGUAUCAGCAAAGCUCUGUAAACAUGAACGUGCCUGAAUUCUGUGGGCACCCAAUAAAAGUGUGUGAUGAUGAUGCAACUUC